UACGGAGGGUGCAAGCGUUAUCCGGAUUCACUGGGUUUAAAGGGUGCGUAGGUUGAUAGGUAAGUCAGUGGUGAAAUACUCCGACUCAAUCGGAGAACUGCCGUUGAUACUAUUUACCUUGAAUACGGUGGAGGCGGGCGGAAUGCGUCAUGUAGUGGUGAAAUACUUAGAUAUGACGCAGAACACCCAUUGCGAAGGCAGCUCGCUACACCGGCAUUGACACUGAGGCACGAAAGCGUGGGGAUCAAACAGG
rnacentral:rRNA from 1 species